rnacentral:lncRNA from 1 species
CGACAGCUCACUCGCCAGGCUCGGUGGCAUCGCCAGCGCUGCCACUAGUUCGUCCGAGACGGCCGUCGAGGCCACCAAGUUAUGCGGCACGCGGUGGAAGGCACGGACCCGCGGGAUGGUGACCGGAACCAGCAGGUUCCACAGGAAAGUGGCAGCGAUCAGCAGCACUAGCAGCGUCACCACCAGGACCGUGAAGACAGAGAAGGGCGGCCCUCGGCCCGGC